rnacentral:rRNA from 1 species
UACGUAGGGGGCAAGCGUUGUCCGGAUUUAUUGGGCGUAAAGAGCGUGUAGGCGGCCAGGUAGGUCCGUUGUGAAAACUCGAGGCUCAACCUCGAGACGUCGGCGGAAACCCUCUGGCUAGAGUCCGGAAGAGGAGAGUGGAAUUCCUGGUGUAGCGGUGAAAUGCGCAGAUAUCAGGAGGAACACCAAUGGCGAAGGCAGCUCGCUGGGACGUGACUGACGCUGAGACGCGAAAGCGUGGGGAGCAAACAGG